rnacentral:rRNA from 1 species
UAGGGAAUCUUCCGCAAUGGACGCAAGUCUGACGGAGCAACGCCGCGUGAGUGAAGAAGGAUUUCGGUUCGUAAAACUCUGUUGUUAGAGAAGAACAGCGCAUAGAGUAACUGUUAUGCGUGUGACGGUAUCUAACCAGAAAGCCACGGCUAACUACGUGCCAGCAGCCGCGGUAAUACGUAGGUGGCAAGCGUUGUCCGGAUUUAUUGGGCGUAAAGCGAGCGCAGGCGGUCAAUUAAGUCUGAUGUGAAAGCCCCCGGCUCAACCGGGGAGGGUAAGUGGAAACUGGUGGACUUGAGUGCAGAAGAGGAGAGGGGAAGUCCAUGUGGAGCGGUGAAAGGCGUAGAUAUAUGGAGGAACACCAGUGGCGAAGGCGACUCGCUGGUCUGUAACUGACGCGGAGGCUCGAAAGCGUGGGUAGCAAACAGG